UACGUAGGGGGCAAGCGUUAUCCGGAUUUACUGGGUGUAAAGGGAGCGCAGACGGCGCUGUAAGUCAGAAGUGAAAACCCCGGGCUUAACCUGGGGACUGCUUUUGAAACUAUAGUGCUCGAGUACUGGAGGGGCAGGCGGAAUUCCUGGUGUAGCGGUGAAAUGCGUAGAUAUCAGGAGGAACACCGGUGGCGAAGGCGGCCUGCUGGACAGAGACUGACGUUGAGGCUCGAAAGCGUGGGGAGCAAAC
rnacentral:rRNA from 1 species